UUUUGGAUUUUUGACGUUUUAAUAUCAAAUUCUUUGCUCAGACAGACUCCAUGGAAAGCGAAGCGUUUGCGGGUUUCCUCCCCCCCGGGCUGGCAAGCCCGGGGGGAAGCAACAGGUAUAGGUACGCAGGGUGGAUUUCAAACGGAACACGCGUUGAAAUUUAGUUAAUGAUCCUUCCGCAGGUUCACCUACGGAAA
rnacentral:misc_RNA from 1 species